CCCCGGGGAGCCCCCGCCCGACGAGCGGGGCUGCGGCACCGCGACCGGGAGGAGCCGCUCCGGGACAGCCGCCGGGACCUCGGGCCGCUCAGCUGAUACACCUGCCAGGCAUAUCUUGAGUGGGAAGGGAUGCAGAAGGAGCACCGAGCUGAACCCUUAUGUGAACACCUCGUCUGGGGAUUGAACACACAACCUGGGUUCAGCACCCUGCUCCAACCAGCCGAUCUCGGGUCCGUGGCAGUGUCGUGCCUGGGAUGGGAAUGCCAAGCGCCAGCAAGGGAAUUCCUAUGCCAAUGCAGCUCCUUCUUUGAUGCUGAUGCUGCUUUACGCAGCAGCCCCUGGAAUGUCCCAGGGCAGAGCUCUGUAGCCAGCACCUGACCGUAGAACAACACAGGUUAAGGCUUGGGUGACAGCAUAAAGCUCUUCCCAUAACCCUGAUUUCCUGCCCUUUUCAGCAUUUCCCUGAGGGCUGUAAAGGUGCUUGUGCUGUGUCUCUUUGCAGGGAGGAAUGAGCAAGACAAGCCCUGAGGGCUCCCUUGGUCCGUGGCUGAAGUUCUUCUGGAGAGCGUCAGGGCUGGUCCCGCCUGCAGAGGGGCGUCUCCUGCAGGUGAGUGUUCCCAGCCCAAAAUCAAGGCUGGGGUCUAAGGCCGGGGCUGCUUCUCUGGCCCAGAGCUGCACAGAGCCCUCGGUGACUCCUGCUCGCUGCUGGCGAUGUUGCUUGGUGUUUCUGUGGGUCCCAGCCAGCCAGGAACACGGGGCGGGAGGAGGCCGGCAGCCCCCAAAAGGCAAUCGGCACUUCUUGUCCUUGAGGUGUGCAGGGAAGGAGCCGUGCCUGCAUCAUCCCGCCCACAGCACGCAGCGUGCCAAACACGCGUCCCAGGGAUGGGCGCCGGGCUGCUCGGACAGCGCUGGCACAGGCACGGCUGAAGGGCUGCCCGGAGCUCCUCAGCCAGGGGCUGUUCUGCACGGGCACGGGGAGAUGCCUCACCGCGCACGGAGGCCACCGAGAGCCCAGAGAUGCCCCGAGGAGCAGCUGGCACUGCCUGGGCACGGGCGGCUCGGGCCAUCCGCAGAGGGGCGCAGAUGGCGAUUCCCAGUUCCGACCUCCCGGAGCUCCUGCGCGGCUGCCAGAAAUGAAAUCCCCAGCAAUUCUCUCAGAGAUGCCUUAAAAUGAAAGCUUAGACAAAUGUGUUUGGAUGAAGUUUGGAGUUUUUCAGGGAGCCAGCUGGAAGCUGAUGAAGAAGUGAUGGAAAGCUUUUUCAGGUGGCCUGGUGAUGCCAGGGGGGUUUCUCCUGCUCCUCUCCAGCCUGCGGCCUCUUCUCUCUUCCCCACCAGCUGCUGCCAAGGAAGGAGGACACAUUAUUCCAGGUUUUCCCAGUUAGGAGCUGCAAGGAAUUCAGGCAAAAGACAGCGGGGAACAGCUGUACAUUCAAAGGAAGAAAGAGAAGGUCUACCAGCAAAGGGGAAAGGCUUCAGAAAACAUUUCUGCAAUUAAUAAUUAUUUCCAAUUCCCCAGUGAGAAGGGAUCUUUGGGGAAUCCCUGGUGGUUGUCCAGAAUCUAUAUAAAUCGAAGUCAAGAAAUAAACUUCUCUCUUUUUUCUCUGAA